UACGGAGGGUGCAAGCGUUAUCCGGAUUCACUGGGUUUAAAGGGUGCGUAGGAGGGCAGGUAAGUCAGUGGUGAAAUCCCCGAGCUUAACUUGGGAACUGCCGUUGAUACUAUCUGUCUUGAAUACCGUGGAGGUGAGCGGAAUAUGUCAUGUAGCGGUGAAAUGCUUAGAUAUGACAUAGAACACCAAUUGCGAAGGCAGCUCGCUACACGAAUAUUGACUCUGAGGCACGAAAGCGUGGGGAUCAAACAG
rnacentral:rRNA from 1 species